rnacentral:rRNA from 1 species
CCUACGGGAGGCUGCAGUGGGGAAUCUUCCGCAAUGGACGAAAGUCUGACGGAGCAACGCCGCGUGAGUGAAGAAGGUUUUCGGAUCGUAAAGCUCUUUCGUCAGGGACGAACGUAUUUCUUGUAAAUAAUGAGAGAUAGUGACGGUACCUGAAUAAGAAGCCACGGCUAACUACGUGCCAGCAGCCGCGGUAAUACGUAGGUGGCAAGCGUUGUCCGGAAUUAUUGGGCGUAAAGCGCGCGCAGGCGGGAUAUCAAGUCUGUCUUAAAAGUGCGAGGCUCAACCUCGUGAGGGGACAGAAACUGGUAUUCUUGAGUGUCGGAGAGGAAAGUGGAAUUCCAAGUGUAGCGGUGAAAUGCGUAGAGAUUUGGAAGAACACCAGUGGCGAAGGCGACUUUCUGGACGAUGUCUGACGCUGAGGCGCGAAAGCUAGGGGAGCGAACGGGCUUAGAUACCCCAGUAGUC